rnacentral:pre_miRNA from 12 species
UGUAGCGAGAUUUUCUGUUGUGCUUGAUCUAACCAUGUGGUUGUGAGGUAUGAGUAAAACAUGGUUCUGUCAAGCACCAUGGAACGUCGCGCAGCU